AAUCGUUUCUAUUUUCCCUCUUUCUUUCUCCUCCCUUUACCGUUAUUGUUAUGCACCUUCCGAUCCGAUCAAUUUUCCGACGCUACUCCGGCCGUCUCAUCUCAUUGAAUUGACAAAGAUGGAGGCACGGAAGAAAGUUGUAUCGAUUCGUUUACUGAUUAGUGACGGCGAAAUGAAGAAAUUUGUACCGUUUCAUAAGUUUUAAUUUUCAUCAUUUUGUUUUUAUUUUUUUAUAAUAUAUUUUGUUUUUAUUUUUUUAAUUUUAAAUAAAAUUGUUUCAUGGAGGAGUCAGGGAUUGAAACUUUCACCAGAGAAAGAUGUUAUCAAUUUUGCAAUUUCUCAAUCCAAGGUGAAAUGUGCAGAUAUAUAAGCUCGUUUUUAAGAAAGAGGUGCUAAGUUGGAACUUGGAACGUUAUAUGCCUGUAACUUAGAAUAAAGACUUGGAUCAUGCCAACCGAUAUCACUGGUUUCUAAUUUUUAAUUUCUUCUUGUUUUUAAAGAGUUCCUUACUUAGGCAUUGCUUCGUUGGUCUGUUUUAGCAGUCUAUGUAUAAUCAAGUCAUCUAGUUGAUGAUAUGAAUUUUUAAGAAAGCUUUCAGUCACUCAAAAUUACUUUCACUUCCCCAGGCUAUAAUAGUGACUAUAUGUUUAUACAUUUAAAUAACUCUAAUCAGUCUUUGGAGAAAGUAAGCAAAUUUAGAUGAUAGUAUGACUUAAUAACUAUAAAAGAUUAAAAUCCAUAAAUAGAUUAUAGAUUAACUACAUCAGUUUAUUAGUCCUUGUUGCUGCAAUUACUUCUAGUUAUACGUUCUAUUUUUAAAGAAGUUGCCUCGAGUUUUAGGUCUGAAGAACUAAGAGUUGGGUACUCAAGCAAUUAUGCAUUUUUUAUGUGACAUCUUUGAAGGCCUUUUGACUGUCGCAGAAUGAAAGCAUCUAUCUUGUGUCUGCAACUGCUUUUUGUAAAUUCUUUAGAUGAAAUUUUGUUGCUCAGCUCGAGCAAAGAAGUUUUUUCUUUCGUUCAUAAUCUUAUUCUUGCAGUCGAAGCCUUUGAAGAAGAUAGCAGUGAGCAUGCCUCCUAAAGUAGAUGUUGAUUCGAAAAACAAGGAUUUUGAUAUUAGUGAAAGUUUCUACAUCUUCCCUUAAGGACAGCAGGUCCAUUUCCAGAAAUUUUGGCCAGCCUUUGUCCCUUUGAAGCCUGUGAAGAUAGGUGAGCACGCCUCCAAAGUAGAUGCUGACAUGAAAACAAGGAUUUUGAGAUUAGUGAAAGAUUCUACAUCUUCAUUUGAUUCUGAAAAAUUUAUCAAGGAGAAGAAAAGGAAAUGUAAUAGCGAGAUAUACAGCUCGCAGAUGGGAUUGGACAAGACCAUUACCAUGGGAAAGGUGGAGGCUUCUGUAAAGGCAGUACGAACAGCCCUAAGAAUAUUGGAGGAUGGAGGUCUUAUACUUCUCGUAGAUGUCUUAUACUUGUCGCAAGCCAAUCCUUGGUCAGAGAAAUGUCAUCACUGCAUAAGGAAGAUUAGACUUAAACCAAAACACAGGGAUAUCACAAAUACAGAACUGCUUUGGUUCAAAACCAAGAACUGCUUUGGUUCAAAACCAAAUGUUUCUUAGCAUAAGAAAAGAGUUACCUUAAUUUUAGGGUGUUUAUUUGAGUGCUAAUAAUCUGCAGUUGGCCGUCAAGGAAACAGACAUACAACCACCCUCUAUUCAUGAGCAGAGUUCGAGCUGGACAAUAGAAGUAGGAGAUCAGCUAAAAGCAUGUCCUAUAAUUGUGGAAAGUAUCGACAUGGAUGGGCAAAUGCUUGUAUAGAUGAUGAGUGACGAAUGUGUCAACUUUUUUUGGAGAUCACGGAAGCGCUAAAAAGCAUGGGUUUGGCUAUUUAAAAGGUGCAACAGAUGUCCAUGGAGAUAACUACGGGAUGUGUUUCAUUGUUGAGGUAAAGAAUAACAGAAGCAUUCAUUAAGUGGAUAUAACAUCCUUGGAGCAAUCGAAAUAGCGACUGACCAGAUCACCAUCCCAAUUUUUUCUUAAAGAACUGCAAGUAAGAAUAGGAAGAAACGGAUAAAUAUUGUUUGACAAACUGUAUAAGUUUCUUUUCUUCAAGAACUUAGAUUGUAUAUAUUUUAUUUCAUAGUUGUGCUUGAUUUUCACAAAAUUGUAUCAUAUUGUAUCAAAAUGAUCACAGUUAAUUUAGACCAAUUUUUAUUCAUCAA